GACGAACUGUCCAAACGUUGUUCGGAAUCACUGGGCUUAAAGGGCGCGUAGGCGGUUCGACAAGUCAGGGGUGAAAUCCUGCAGCUUAACUGUAGAAGUGCCUUUGAUACUGUCGAUCUUGAGGGAGAUAGGGGUGUGCGGAACUUCCAGUGGAGCGGUGAAAUGCGUUGAUAUUGGAAGGAACGCCGGAGGCGAAAGCGGCGCACUGGAUCUCUUCUGACGCUGAGGCGCGAAAGCUAGGGGAGCAAACGGGG
rnacentral:rRNA from 1 species